rnacentral:rRNA from 1 species
AUGCGGAUGGGGUCGGUGCUUGAGGGAGGGUUACCGACCGGAGCAACAGGAGCAGCAAGCUCGACGAGGUUCAGAUUGGAUACAAAUGGUUCACCAAAGACAGAGCAUGAGCAACAGCGAGUGGCUGGGCUGUGCAAUUUUUCUCCCGUCGAGGGGAGCCUUGGCGCAGUGGUAAAGCUGCUGCCUUGUGACCAUGAGGUCAUGGGUUCAAGUCCUGGAAACAGCCUCUUACAGAAAUGUAGGGAAAGGCUGCGUACUAUAGACCCAAAGUGGUCGGACCCUUCCCUGGACCCUGCGCAAGCGGGAGCUACAUGCACCAGGGACAAGGAGCUGUAG